rnacentral:rRNA from 1 species
ACCUGACUGCUAUCGGAUUGAUACUAAGCCAUGCGAGUCAUUGUAGCAAUACAAGGCAUACGGCUCAGUAACGCGUAGUCAACCUAACCUAUGGACGGGAAUAACCUCGGGAAACUGAGAAUAAUGCCCGAUAGAACAUUAUGCCUGGAAUGGUUUAUGUUCCAAAUGAUUUAUCGCCGUAGGAUGGGACUGCGGCCUAUCAGUUUGUUGGUGAGGUAAUGGCCCACCAAGACUAUUACAGGUACGGGCUCUGAGAGGAGUAGCCCGGAGAUGGGUACUGAGACACGGACCCAGGCCCUAUGGGGCGCAGCAGGCGAGAAAACUUUGCAAUGUGCGAAAGCACGACAAGGUUAAUCCGAGUGGUUCCUGCUAAAGGAACCUUUUGUUAGUCCUAGAACCACUAACGAAUAAGGGGUGGGCAAGUUCUGGUGUCAGCCGCCGCGGUAAAACCAGCACCUCAAGUGGUCAGGAUGAUUAUUGGGCCUAAAGCAUCCGUAGCCGGCUCUGUAAGUUUUCGGUUAAAUCUGUACGCUUAACGUACAGGCUGCCGGGAAUACUGCAGAGCUAGGGAGUGGGAGAAGUAGACGGUACUCGGGAGGAAGUGGUAAAAUGCUUUGAUCUAUCGAUGACCACCUGUGGCGAAGGCGGUCUACUAGAACACGUCCGACGGUGAGGGAUGAAAGCUGGGGGAGCAAACCGGAUUAGAUACCCGGGUAGUCCCAGCUGUAAACUAUGCAAACUCAGUGAUGCAUUGGCUUGUGGCCAAUGCAGUGCUGCAGGGAAGCCGUUAAGUUUGCCGCCUGGGAAGUACGUACGCAAGUAUGAAACUUAAAGGAAUUGGCGGGGGAGCACCACAAGGGGUGAAGCCUGCGGUUC